UGCGCAUCCGUCCCACGGAGCUGAGCGGCUCGAGAGAGGCAGCAAGCCUUAGGUGAGAAGAGAGAACGGAGAAGUGAGAUGGAGAAGCGGCCUCUUGGCAUGGCGGUGUUCCUGAUGGCCUUCCUUGUCAUCUCCGGCAUGCACACUGCCCCAGCCCAGGCAGCAGGACGGAUUAUCAGCCGCGGGUCGAUGAACCCAAACAUUCCCCACGAUUCUCCGCUGGACCCGAACAAGGCCGGCGAUCCGUACCCCGGUCGUGGCCGUGCGUGCACAAGUAUCUACCACUGCCAUGGUGCAGCAGAGCCAUGAGCGUGAAGAAUGAGCCUUGGAACUUGAAGAAAGAAUAACGCUGGAACAGCUUUGUCUCCCGAGAUCAUCCUCGGUUGAAAUAGAACAAGACAGCCAGGAAACGUAUCCUAGUCGUGUAUCAAGUGAAUGAUGUUCUAGUCGUGUAGUAUCUACUUGUGUAUGUUUGCUGUGUGCAUGUGCUGAAAUCCGGUGAUCCAGGCAAAUUAUCAAGUUCCAGUGAAACAAGUGAACGUGCUGUAAAAUUAAAGCUUUCAAAUUUCA